rnacentral:lncRNA from 1 species
AAUUGAUUGGUUUCGUCUGGUUUAAUUGAUAGAUAUAAUUGGGUAUCAUCCGCAUAACAAUGCAGGUUUAUAGAGUGGACUUCUGGGACAGUUAAAAGAAACAAGUCCUCGGAGCGAAGCCGAUACGGUCCACUACAUUUCCGACUAAUGUAGAUCCUUAGGUAUUGUGGCAGAGCACCAAGAAAAGCUUUAUAAAUAAGGAUGUCAGGAGUUGUAAGUUGUAGGUUUGUUGACAUACAAUAAACUCCAGCAUGAGUCAGACACUGCUCGGCAAACCAGAAAUGUAUUUCCUCUCAACAAUGAUGAGGCUUGUUUGCUUCCUGGAUCGCACACCUUCCAUGCAGUCAGCUGAGGGCCACGCCCUCCCCAGGAUGCUGCAGAAAAGCCUCUCCUCCUGCAUCACCUCCAGUAAGCAUCAGCGCCGCUCGUUUAAAUCCUUCCUGCAGAGAGCAAACACACACAGAGGAGCAGAAACUUUCCUGUUACUCAACUUUGACUUUUACAGCUCAGAACAUGUCUCGAGGGUUGAUCCUGUUGGUCGCUGCGCUGGUGGUUUAUGUGUCGCCGGACGUCCAGGGAACGGCUCAUUUGUCAUUUUCCAAUAAUACAGAGGUGAACAUCACUCGUGACGGGUGCGGAGACACUAAACUGUGUGUGGCGACACCAGAUGGCUGUGAUCCUGCUGGAAACACCAACUGUCUGUUUACAUCUGUGACGACCAGCUCCCAGGCUCCCAGCGGCACUGAACUGUCCGUCGAACUGAGAGGAAACUCCACGGGAUACAUCGCACUGGGACUCACUCUGAAUGCCACAGAGGGCACCACCAUGCUUUUCAUCUGCGCUCAAAACAACGGGUCGUUCUUGUUCCGGACCAGGCAGAACAACAACACCGACAAUGAGCUCACCCCCACUGAGAGGGUGAGAUGCGUUCAAUGUACUUUAAUUAAAAGUAUAAAAAGCUACGAAAUGAU